UACAGAGGUCCCGAGCGUUGUUCGGAUUCAUUGGGCGUAAAGGGUGCGUAGGCGGCUUCCUAAGUUUGAUGUGAAAUCCUGGGGCUCAACCCUGGAACUGCAUUGAAUACUGGGAGGCUAGAGUACUGGAGAGGAAACUGGAAUUUACGGUGUAGCGGUGAAAUGCGUAGAUAUCGUAAGGAAGACCAGUGGCGAAGGCGGGUCUCUGGACAGUUCCUGACGCUGAGGCACGAAGGCCAGGGGAGCAAACGGG
rnacentral:rRNA from 1 species